GUGCCAUGCGGGUGCUAUACAUGCAAGUCGAGCGGACAGAUGGGAGCUUGCUCCCUGAUGUUAGCGGCGGACGGGUGAGUAACACGUGGGUAACCUGCCUGUAAGACUGGGAUAACUCCGGGAAACCGGGGCUAAUACCGGAUGCUUGAUUGAACCGCAUGGUUCAAUUAUAAAAGGUGGCUUUUAGCUACCACUUACAGAUGGACCCGCGGCGCAUUAGCUAGUUGGUGAGGUAACGGCUCACCAAGGCAACGAUGCGUAGCCGACCUGAGAGGGUGAUCGGCCACACUGGGACUGAGACACGGCCCAGACUCCUACGGGAGGCAGCAGUAGGGAAUCUUCCGCAAUGGACGAAAGUCUGACGGAGCAACGCCGCGUGAGUGAUGAAGGUUUUCGGAUCGUAAAACUCUGUUGUUAGGGAAGAACAAGUACCGUUCGAAUAGGGCGGUACCUUGACGGUACCUAACCAGAAAGCCACGGCUAACUACGUGCCAGCAGCCGCGGUAAUACGUAGGUGGCAAGCGUUGUCCGGAAUUAUUGGGCGUAAAGCGCGCGCAGGCGGUUUCUUAAGUCUGAUGUGAAAGCCCCCGGCUCAACCGGGGAGGGUCAUUGGAAACUGGGGAACUUGAGUGCAGAAGAGGAGAGUGGAAUUCCACGUGUAGCGGUGAAAUGCGUAGAGAUGUGGAGGAACACCAGUGGCGAAGGCGACUCUCUGGUCUGUAACUGACGCUGAGGCGCGAAAGCGUGGGGAGCGAACAGGAUAACAUACCCUGCUAGUCCUCCCCGCAAACUAUGAGUGCUAAGUGUGAAAGGGUGCCUCCCCUUCAGUGCUGCAGCAACCGCAUUAAUCACUCCCCCCGGCUGAGUACAGCCGGGGGACUGCAAGCCCAAAUGAAAUGAACUGGCGGCCCGCACCACCCGACGCAGCAUUUUUUUGUAAUUUAAAUUCCCCCACCAAGAACAUUAACCCGGGCGUGGUAGUCCCCUUUUAACCCCAGGG
rnacentral:rRNA from 1 species